AGGAUGUUUUGGUUCACUGAAGCAAAUGAUUUCUGUUGCCUAUAAAAGUUUUAUUUCCUGAAAAAGGUACUUAGUGAGUACUAACUUCAUAAGCUGGUUUUUAUUUGGAAAAUGUUUUUAUCAAAGCAAUAUAUUGGGCUUUUAAUUAUACUACAUGGCCUGUGUUUAGCUGUGUUAUCGUCCUCAUUGGACGAAAUGAACUUGAAUGGAAUUUUAAAUACUACGAAUAAUUCUUUCGAAAAUGUCACGAAACAUUAUAUUUUGACAUCAAAGCGUCGAGCAGUUCUAAUAAUAAAUGGGGAUACAGCACUUCGUUCAAAACCUAAAAAGAAGAAGGACAUUGAAAGUCUUCUCUAUGAAGAACGCGACGAGGAUGGUAACAAACUAAACCAAUUCAUGAUGUAUUCAUUAAAAGAUGUUACUGUUUUCUUCAAGAGAUUUUUAAAUACAGAGAUUGUUGAAGGGGAAUGUGAGAAUAAAUCGUAAACUUCA